rnacentral:lncRNA from 1 species
UUGCUUUCGUUUUGGUGCGUCUGGUUUGGAAGCUCAAGUCGGACCAGGUGAUAGUAGUCACAGCAUUCUAAAGGUGGAUGCGAGAAGAGCAACUAUAGUGCAGCCAAGUAUCAGAACUCCGGGAUUCAAACUCAAGGCCAAAACUUGAGGAUAAUAUCGGCACCCUAAGGCACGCCGUAUCAAAGUUCUGAAACAGUAUUGGCACCAUAAGGCACCGCCACCGGAGCUUUGAAAGCAGUUUCGGCACCCCAAGGCACGCCGAAUGAAGCUCUGAAACAGUAUUGGCACCUAAAGGUACCGCCACUGGAGCUUUGAAAGUGGUAAAACCAUAAAGAGAUGCAGACGGAUCCUCCACCUUUUAUUCCUAUGGAGCACGCUGCGGCUUCCUCUUUUUAGAGUUCAACUUGGAGUGAACUACUUGGGGAACUUGUAUUCCGUGAAGACUACUACUCUUAUUUUGUAGUUGCUUUGUAAUCUAUAUUUUGACAAAACAAGAAGUCUGACGUCUUGUGAAAUCCAAUAGACCAGCUUAAUGACUCUUGUGCUUUUUCCUUUUGCUUAGAGUUUUAAAAGCUAUCAACUUUAUCCAUCCUUAUUUUCAU